UCCAGGGGAGGAGGAAGGAAGGGUGCUGGUCACACUGCAGCAGCCAUCCAGACACACCCUGCAUGUGAAACACGACUGCAUUGGAACGCCCCGGGAAUCGGCUACAGGGAGGUGGGAGGAGGAGAGGAGGAGAGGAAGAGAGGGUGACUCCGAGCUCAGGGACCGGAUGGUUUGGAGGCAUAUGGCUCAUCUUCAGUAGAGGCUCAAGAACAUUUCUGCUGCGCGGAACGUUUCCAAGAGCAGAGUGACAUCCAUGUUGAGGAUUGAAACAAACCAGGACGGUGAAACCGAGCAAUCAGGGGCGAAGGCACUUGGUAAGAGAGGCGAAGAUGAUCUUGAUGACCUGUAGGAGCUCUAGAGAUCCUGGGUGGAGAAGGGAGAAACUUCCAGAAGGACAACUAUGAGUGCAGCGCUCUAAAGGGUCUAGGCUUGAUGGCAAAGUGGCUAGAUGGAAGUCUCACUUCAAGGUGAAAGCACCAAAGGCAGACUUUGGGAAACAGAUUCUCUGGUCCGAUCUGACCAGAGAAUCCUGUCCAGAAGAAACCAAGCUCUGCUCAACCAUCCAUCCAGUCGUCACCCGGUCCUUCAGGCUGAAGGUUCCAUCGUGUCCAGAGGCGGUCCAACCAGCCUGAACUUGAACCCGAUUGGACAUCUCUGGAGAGAAAAGGUCUCGUCUCCAUCAAAGCGGACAGAGGUCGAGAGGCUCUGCAGAGACAAAAGCCCCCAAAUCCAGGUAUGCAAAGCUCGAGGCGGUUUUCCCUGUCAGGGGCACUUCAACUGAGUUUAGGGUCUGAACACAAGUUCACAACACUGAAAUUCUUAAAUCUAAAAUCCUUUUUUCUUGAGAAUAUAUGAGAAUAUGAAAAUAGAAUUUUAGAAUAAAACAAGUGAAGCCUCCUGAAUAGUUUAUUAAUGUCGUUUUUGCACCCAAAUCCAAACACCCAAACACAUUCCGCUAUAAAUGGAAACUUUUUUUUAUACAAUGAGAGGUCAAGACAUCAACGAUUACAAGUAGCAACCAGGAAUACUACAAUGAUGUACGUGUCAGCUGGGUUUCAUUCCACUAAACACAGUUAUUCAGGAAAAUGCACGAUCUAAUUAAAACUUUAAAUAAUCAGGGUCAGGUCAUAAUUCAGGUCGGUUGUGAAUAUUCCCUGACUAAUUUGAAAUGACAAAAAACAACAGGCCAUUUAAAUAACUCCCAACUCUUUUGGCUCCAUCACACUUUUAAAUGAAGCGUCCUCAUGCAGCGCCGGAGGUACAAUCGUACAGAAGUACAUUUAGAAAAGCUAAUAUGAGACUAGUUCAGCAUGUGAGGAUUAUUUGUCGAGCAGACGCUCGUCUCUUCACCUUCAGAUCUACCUGGCGAAUGUCGGCCAUGUGGGGAAACCCGGGUCGAUUUAAACGUGAAAGCAAAUUACAGACACUCCGAAGUUUCGACCCUGUGUCAGCAUAGAUUUCUUCUCGCGUUAUUGUUAUUGUACAUAAGAGGUAUAAAAGUGAACCCAAUUCCCUCACACAAAUUCAACAUAAUAGAUUCAGACACGUUCUUUACAUCCAAUAAAACAGCAAUCAUAGGAAACACCAGAUAGUGUGAAAGUCACUCAAAAACUGAAGUGAUGUGUGGUUACAUUUAGGUAACUGUACAUAAAGCCACAGCAAAAGCUGCGAAAACUAUUUUUCCUUUACAAAAUCGAUUAAUGAACAACUGACAAAAGAGCCGUUACCCAUAAUAAAGAAUAAAAAAAAA